rnacentral:rRNA from 1 species
UGGGGAAUAUUGCACAAUGGGGGAAACCCUGAUGCAGCGACGCCGCGUGAGCGAAGAAGGUUUUCGAAUCGUAAAGCUCUGUCCUAUGAGAAGAUAAUGACGGUAUCAUAGGAGGAAGCCCCGGCUAAAUACGUGCCAGCAGCCGCGGUAAUACGUAUGGGGCGAGCGUUGUCCGGAAUUAUUGGGCGUAAAGGGUACGUAGGCGGUCUAUUAAGUCAGGUGUGAAAGCGUGAGGCUUAACCUCAUUAAGCACUUGAAACUGAUAGACUUGAGUGAAGGAGAGGAAAGUGGAAUUCCUAGUGUAGCGGUGAAAUGCGUAGAUAUUAGGAGGAAUACCGGUGGCGAAGGCGACUUUCUGGACUUAUACUGACGCUCAGGUACGAAAGCGUGGGGAGCAAACAGG